AGGACGAACGCUGGCGGCGUGCUUAACACAUGCAAGUCGGACGAGGACCAGGGUGCUUGCACCUUGUAGCCGAGUGGCGAACGGGUGAGUAACACGUGACCAACCUAGCCUGGAGCGGGGGGCAACCUGGGGAAACCUGGGCUAAUACCGCAUACAGCCCCGUGGUCGUAUGGCCGUGGGAUGAAAGGAGGCCUCUGCUUGCAAGCUUUCGCUCGAGGGGGGGGUCGCGGCGUAUCAGCUAGUUGGUGGGGUAACGGCCUACCAAGGCGACGACGCGUAGCGGGUCUGAGAGGACGACCCGUCACAUUGGGACUGAGAUACGGCCCAGACUCCUACGGGAGGCAGCAGUGGGGAAUAUUGCGCAAUGGCCGAAAGGCUGACGCAGCGACGCCGCGUGUGGGAGGAAGCCCUUCGGGGUGUAAACCACUGUCAGAGGGGAAGAACUUCGGAUUUCUGAAUAAGGAGUCCGAUUGACGGUACCUUCAGAGGAAGCGCCGGCUAACUCCGUGCCAGCAGCCGCGGUAAGACGGAGGGCGCAAGCGUUGUUCGGAAUUACUGGGCGUAAAGCGCACGCAGGCGGUCCCUUAAGUCCUCUGUGAAAUUCCGGGGCUCAACCCCGGAGGUGCAGGGGAAACUGAGGGACUAGAGACCGGUAGAGGCUAGCGGAAUUCCUGGUGUAGCGGUGGAAUGCGUAGAUAUCAGGAGGAACACCGGUGGCGAAGGCGGCUAGCUGGGCCGGUUCUGACGCUCAUGUGCGAAAGCGUGGGGAGCAAACAGGAUUAGAUACCCUGGUAGUCCACGCCGUAAACGAUGGGCACUAGAUGCCGGGCCUUUCGACAGGUUCGGUGUCGUAGCUAACGCAUUAAGUGCCCCGCCUGGGGAGUACGGUCGCAAGGCUG
rnacentral:rRNA from 1 species